rnacentral:rRNA from 1 species
GAGUAACACGUGACUAACCUACCCUCGAGUGGGGAAUAACUCCGGGAAACCGGGGCUAAUACCGCAUAACAUCGCAAGAUCAAAGCAGCAAUGCGCUUGAGGAGGGGGUCGCGGCUGAUUAGCUAGUUGGCGGGGUAACGGCCUACCAAGGCGAAGAUCGGUAUCCGGCCUGAGAGGGCGCACGGACACACUGGAACUGAAACACGGUCCAGACUCCUACGGGAGGCAGCAGUGGGGAAUUUUGCGCAAUGGGGGAAACCCUGACGCAGCAACGCCGCGUGGAGGAUGAAGCCCUUUGGGGCGUAAACUCCUUUCGACUCGGACGAUAAUGACGGUACGAGUGGAAGAAGCACCGGCUAACUCUGUGCCAGCAGCCGCGGUAAUACAGAGGGUGCGAGCGUUGUUCGGAAUUAUUGGGCGUAAAGGGCGCGUAGGCGGUGCGGUAAGUCACCUGUGAAAUCUCCUGGCUUAACUGGGAGCCUGCAGGCGAAACUACCGUGCUGGAGUGUGGGAGAGGUGCGUGGAAUUCCCGGUGUAGCGGUGAAAUGC